rnacentral:rRNA from 1 species
GAUGAACGCUGGCGGCGUGCCUAAUACAUGCAAGUCGAGCGAACAGACGAGGAGCUUGCUCCUCUGACGUUAGCGGCGGACGGGUGAGUAACACGUGGAUACCCUACCUAUAAGACUGGGAUAACUUCGGGAAACCGGAGCUAAUACCGGAUAAUAUAUUGAACCGCAUGGUUCAAUAGUGAAAGACGGUUUUGCUGUCACUUAUCGAUGGAUCCGCGCCGCAUUAGCUAGUUGGUAAGGUAACGGCUUACCAAGGCAACGAUGCGUAGCCGACCUGAGAGGGUGAUCGGCCACACUGGAACUGAGACACGGUCCAGACUCCUACGGGAGGCAGCAGUAGGGAAUCUUCCGCAAUGGGCGAAAGCCUGACGGAGCAACGCCGCGUGAGUGGUGAAGGUCUUCGGAUCGUAAAACUCUGUUAUGAGGGAAGAACAAAUGUGUAAGUAACUAUGCACGUCUUGACGGUACCUAAUCAGAAAGCCACGGCUAACUACGUG